rnacentral:rRNA from 1 species
GUACCAUAACCGACACAGGUGGGUAAGUAGAGUAUAUUAAGGGGCGCGAGAUAACUCUCUCUAAGGAACUCGGCAGAAUAACUCCGUAACUUCGGGAGAAGGAGUGCCUUAUUCUUAAGGUUGCAAUAACAAGAUCCAAGCAACUGUUUAUCAAAAACACAGGUCUCCGCUAAGUCGUAAGACGAUGUAUGGGGGCUGACGCCUGCCCAGUGCCAGAAGGUUAAAGAAGUCGGUUAGCAAUAGCAAAGCUGGUAACUGAAGCCCUGGUGAACGGCGGCCGUAACUAUAACGGUCCUAAGGUAGCGAAAUUCCUUGUCGGGUAAGUUCCGACCCGCACGAAAGGCGUAAUGAUUUGGGUGCUGUCUCGGAGAGGGGCUCGGUGAAAUAGACUUGUCUGUGAAGAUGCGGACUACCUGCACCAGGACAGAAAGACCCUAUGAAGCUUUACUGUAACUUGAAAUUGAAAUUGGACUUUAUUCGCGCAGUAUAGGUGGGAGGCGUUGAUUAUAAUCUUGUGGGAUUAUUGGAGCCAUCAGUGAGAUACCACUCUUGUAAUGUUAGAUUUCUAACUUUGAAUCAUUAUCUGGUCAAAGGACAGUUUCAGGCGGGCAGUUUGACUGGGGCGGUCGCCUCCUAAACGGUAACGGAGGCGUACAAAGGUUUCCUCUGAACGGUUAGAAAUCGUAUCUAGAGUGUAAAGGCAUAAGGAAGCUUGACUGUGAGACCUACAAGUCGAGCAGGGACGAAAGUCGGUCUUAGUGAUCUGACGGUACUGAGUGGAAAGGCCGUCACUCAACGGAUAAAAGUUACUCUAAGGAUAACAGGCUGAUCUCCCCCAAGAGUUCACAUCGACGGGGAGGUUUGGCACCUCGAUGUCGGCUCAUCGCAUCCUGGGGCGGUAGUACGUCCCAAGGGUUGGGCUGUUCGCCCAUGAAAGCGGUACGCGAGCUGGGUUCAGAACGUCGUGAGACAGUUCGGUCCAUAUCCGGUGUAGGCGCUAGAAUAUUGAGAGGAGCCUUCUUUAGUACGAGAGGACCGAGAAGGACAUACCUCUGGUGUACCAGUUAUCGUGCCAACGGUAAACGCUGGGUAGCUAUGUAUGGAGUGGAUAACCGCUGAAAGCAUCUAAGUGGGAAGCCCACCUCAAGAUAAGUAUUCUCAUCACGUAAGUGAGUAAGGUCACGGUAAGACUAACCGUUUGAUAGGCAUUAAGUGUAAGUACAGUAAUGUAUGUGCUGAGAUGUCCUAAUAGACCGAGGACUUGAA